rnacentral:rRNA from 1 species
UACGUAGGCAGCGAGCGUUGUUCGGAUUCAUUGGGCGUAAAGGGUGCGUAGGCGGCGCGGUAAGUCGGGUGUGAAAUCUCGGGGCUUAACUCCGAAACUGCAUUCGAUACUGCCGUGCUUGAGGACUGGAGAGGAGACUGGAAUUUACGGUGUAGCGGUGAAAUGCGUAGAUAUCUGGAGGAACACCGGUGGCGAAGGCGGCAUCCUGGACCGGCAUUGACGCUGAGGCGCGAAAGCCAGGGGAGCAAACGGG